rnacentral:rRNA from 1 species
UACGGAGGGGGCGAGCGUUAUUCGGAAUUAUUGGGCGUAAAGGGCGUGUAGGCGGUCACAUAAGUCUCAUGUGAAAGCCCUCGGCUCAACCGAGGAAUUGCAUGGGAAACUGCGUGACUUGAGUCCGGGAGAGGAUAGUGGAAUUCCCAGUGUAGCGGUGAAAUGCGUAGAUAUUGGGAGGAACACCGGUGGCGAAGGCGGCUAUCUGGACCGGUACUGACGCUGAGACGCGAAAGCCAGGGGAGCAAACGGG